UUCCUGGUUUAAAAUUUGUUGACAACUUGUCACCUGUGGAAGACGAGGGUUUCAGUAGAGCAGAAGGCAUCAUGAGAAAAGGAGUUUCACACGGACAGAACACAGGCUUCCAGGGCAGGAACAACCGCUUUAGUAACCGUGUUGGACCAAUGAGACGACAGAACAACCACAUCAACAAUAAAGG